UUUCUAGCUUGCUAGAAGAUGACGAGCGGCGGACGGGUGAGUAAUACUUAGGAAUCUACCUAGUAGUGGGGGAUAGCUCGGGGAAACUCGAAUUAAUACCGCAUACGACCUACGGGAGAAAGGGGGCAGUUUACUGCUCUCGCUAUUAGAUGAGCCUAAGUCGGAUUAGCUAGAUGGUGGGGUAAAGGCCUACCAUGGCGACGAUCUGUAGCUGGUCUGAGAGGAUGAUCAGCCACACCGGGACUGAGACACGGCCCGGACUCCUACGGGAGGCAGCAGUGGGGAAUAUUGGACAAUGGGGGAAACCCUGAUCCAGCCAUGCCGCGUGUGUGAAGAAGGCCUUUUGGUUGUAAAGCACUUUAAGCAGUGAAGAAGACUCUUCGGUUAAUACCCGGAGACGAUGACAUUAGCUGCAGAAUAAGCACCGGCUAACUCUGUGCCAGCAGCCGCGGUAAUACAGAGGGUGCAAGCGUUAAUCGGAAUUACUGGGCGUAAAGGGAGCGUAGGUGGCUCGAUAAGUCAGAUGUGAAAUCCCCGGGCUCAACCUGGGAACUGCAUCUGAUACUGUUGAGCUAGAGUAUGUGAGAGGAAGGUAGAAUUCCAGGUGUAGCGGUGAAAUGCGUAGAGAUCUGGAGGAAUACCGAUGGCGAAGGCAGCCUUCUGGCAUAAUACUGACACUGAGGCUCGAAAGCGUGGGUAGCAAACAGGAUUAGAUACCCUGGUAGUCCACGCCGUAAACGAUGUCUACUAGUCGUUGGGUCCCUUGAGGACUUAGUGACGCAGCUAACGCAAUAAGUAGACCGCCUGGGGAGUACGGCCGCAAGGUUAAAACUCAAAUGAAUUGACGGGGGCCCGCACAAGCGGUGGAGCAUGUGGUUUAAUUCGAUGCAACGCGAAGAACCUUACCUGGUCUUGACAUAUCUAGAAUCCUGCAGAGAUGCGGGAGUGCCUUCGGGAAUUAGAAUACAGGUGCUGCAUGGCUGUCGUCAGCUCGUGUCGUGAGAUGUUGGGUUAAGUCCCGCAACGAGCGCAACCCUUGUCCUUAGUUACCAGCGGGUUAAGCCGGGAACUCUAAGGAUACUGCCAGUGACAAACUGGAGGAAGGCGGGGACGACGUCAAGUCAUCAUGGCCCUUACGACCAGGGCUACACACGUGCUACAAUGGUAGGUACAGAGGGCAGCUACACAGCGAUGUGAUGCGAAUCUCAAAAAGCCUAUCGUAGUCCAGAUUGGAGUCUGCAACUCGACUCCAUGAAGUAGGAAUCGCUAGUAAUCGCGGAUCAGAAUGCCGCGGUGAAUACGUUCCCGGGCCUUGUACACACCGCCCGUCACACCAUGGGAGUUGA
rnacentral:rRNA from 1 species